GCAGCCAGCCCUUAGAAACUUCCUGGGUUUGGAGGAAGGGCAAAGAAGCCUCCCAAGGUCUGGGACUACAGGGACUACAUGCCUACCUCCUGCUGCCUCUCAGAAGAACCUGGCGAUUCCUUCUGCACUGGAGAAACCUUAUGCUGCUAGCCUAACCUACUACAAUUGGAAGCGAGACAGUCUAGGGCAGCACACGGAUUCCAGAAGAGACAGCCAUCAAGACUUCCCUCCUUGGUUUUUUGAGAAUUGUCAAAAGAGUGGAAGUCAGAGUCUGCAAAGCAUUUUAGGUGGAAGGGACUCCUGUUUCGUCCACAAGCCAG
rnacentral:lncRNA from 1 species